rnacentral:rRNA from 1 species
GGGGGGGGGGGGCGGGGGGCCUGAUGCGGGCAGGGCGGGCGAGCCGGCGGGGAGCGUGCUCCUCUGGCGUUAGCGGCGGACGGGUGAUUCACCCUUUGAUACCCUCCCUAUCAGACUGGGCUCACUUCUGGGCACCCGCGCUGAUCCCGUCUCAUAUCUUGGCCCGCCUGGUUCCAUCGUUACAGCCGGUUUUGCUGUCACUUAUCGAUUGCCCCCUGCCUCUCUAGCUGAGUGGUACGGUAACGGCCUACCCAGGAGACGAUGAGUAGACGACCUGCGAGGGUGAUCGGCCACACUGGAACUGAGACACGGUCCAGACUCCUACGGGAGGCAGCAGUAGGGAAUCUUCCGCAAUGGGCGAAAGCCUGACGGAGCAACGCCGCGUGAGUGAUGAAGGUCUUCGGAUCGUAAAACUCUGUUAUUAGGGAAGAACAAAUGUGUAAGUAACUAUGCACGUCUUGACGGUACCUAAUCAGAAAGCCACGGCUAACUACGUG